rnacentral:rRNA from 1 species
AUCCAGAGAACUUAGCAGAGAUGCUUUGGUGCCUUCGGGAACUCUGAGACAGGUGCUGCAUGGCUGUCGUCAGCUCGUGUUGUGAAAUGUUGGGUUAACGUCCGCAACGAGCGCAACCCUUAUCCUUUGUUGCCAGCGGUUCGGCCGGGAACUCAAAGGAGACUGCCGGUGAUAAACCGGAGGAAGGUGGGGAUGACGUCAAGUCACCAUGGCCCUUACGGCCAGGGCUACACACGUGCUACAAUGGCGCAUACAAAGAGAAGCGACCUCGCGAGAGCAAGCGGACCUCAUAAAGUGCGUCGUAGUCCGGAUUGGAGUCUGCAACUCGACUCCAUGAAGUCGGAAUCGCUAGUAAUCGUAGAUCAGAAUGCUACGGUGAAUACGUUCCCGGGCCUUGUACACACCGCCCGUCACACCAUGGGAGUGGGUUGCAAAAGAAGUAGGUAGCUUAACCUUCGGGAGGGCGCUUACCACUUUGUGAUUCAUGACUGGGGUGAAGUCGUAACAAGGUAAGCGUAGCGAG